rnacentral:rRNA from 1 species
GAGGAAUAUUGGACAAUGGGCGCAAGCCUGAUCCAGCCAUGCCGCGUGUCUGAAGAAGGCCUUCGGGUUGUAAAGGACUUUUGUCAGGGAAGAAAAGGCUGUUGCUAAUAUCGACAGCUGAUGACGGUACCUGAAGAAUAAGCACCGGCUAACUACGUGCCAGCAGCCGCGGUAAUACGUAGGGUGCGAGCGUUAAUCGGAAUUACUGGGCGUAAAGCGAGCGCAGACGGUUACUUAAGCAGGAUGCGAAAUCCCCGGGCUCAACCUGGGAACUGCGUUCUGAACUGGGUGACUAGAGUGUGUCAGAGGGAGGUAGAAUUCCACGUGUAGCAGUGAAAUGCGUAGAGAUGUGGAGGAAUACCGAUGGCGAAGGCAGCCUCCUGGGAUAACACUGACGUUCAUGCUCGAAAGCGUGGGUAGCAAACAGGAUUAGAUACCCUGGUAGUCCACGCCCUAAACGAUGUCAAUUAGCUGUUGGGCAACUUGAUUGCUUAGUAGCGUAGCUAACGCGUGAAAUUGACCGCCUGGGGAGUACGGUCGCAAGAUUA